GGGUGGAUAAAAUUAAAAUUAAUUUGUUUUGAAAGAUUAACUUAAAAAAAAAAAACACUGCUUAAAUCUGGGUCAAGCCCUUAAGUCAAUAAUGGAAUUAAUUUAUUCCAUCAUAUUUGUGAGAAAUUUUACCCCCGAACACUUGGGCGACAUUUAAUCAAAGAUGAUAAAAAAUCAUCGAUCCGUUGAACGGUUGAGAUGUAUUUGUAGCUUGAACUUAGCUGUCAUGCGAGUACCAAAAAGCAAAAUGUUUCUAGAAACACCAUUAUGUAAUCGUGGAGCCGUCGAAAGUAACAUUUGCCUUUUUUUUUUUUCUAGAAGUGUUACAUACCUCAAAAUUUUCAUCUUAAUUUUGUAAAAAAUUGUCAAAUUGAUAUAUUAGUUUAGAUAAAUUUAAGAUAAAAAAAUUUAAAAUAUCUAUUAUUACUCUUUUUUUUAUUCGUUAUCAAAUAUCAAUUUAUCAUAGUGCAUCAUCUCGUUACAAUCUAACGGAAAACCACUUUACUCUUUCUUCGUUCGUUAUCAAAUGCCAAUUUAUCAUCGUGCGUUGUGUCCUCACAAACUAACGAGAAACCACGUCUUCACUGAGUCACCACCAUUGAGAAAUCGAAAUUAUUAUACGAAUUAUGCAUAAAUCUAUUGUAACAUAAUGGCACACAGACAACGAAUCUUUUAUGACAUUUUCGAUUUUUUUUCGGUUAACGAAUUUUUUUUAAGGGAAAAUUGUCUUUCUAACACUUGGUUUUUGACUAAAGUUUUUAUAAUAAUUAAUGAAUCUUGAAAAAAAUUGGCAAUAUUAAGGUUUAGCAUUUUUCAUCACAUCUCAAUAUCUAAGUUUCGGGGUUAUGUAUCCUAACUCUAAACCUAUUAAAUGACGAAUUUCAUAACUUAUA
rnacentral:lncRNA from 1 species